UAGCAGCAUCGAAAGUACUUUCAUCCGAAAUACUCGGAUGCUGAACCUCGGAAGAUUCUUUAUUUGGAUCUAUCUUUAGAUUUAAAUUACUAGGCUCUGGCUUAUUUAGAAGCAAGCUGUUUUUGGGUUCACUACUUGAUGCGUACACCUCUGUAAGACUAGCAUCUUCGGAGUCAUCACUAGAUACAGGCAAGACAUCGCUUGAUUGUCCAUUCUUUUCACUAUCGUCGGAGCUGAUCCUCAUUGGUUCCGGCUUCUUCAACAAUGUAACAUCACUAAACUUCUCAGGUUUCAGUUCUCUGCCCAUUUUCAGUGUCAAGUUUGGCUUAAUUUUGAAUUUUGAUGAUUCAUCCUCCUCAGAAUACAAACUUGGCUUUCGCAGUAUGACAUUUGGAACACUACUUUUUCUACUUACUUCAGGUCUUGAAAUUGGUUGACUUUGUUUAUAGCCCUCAGUCUUUGGCUGUUUUUCAUCAACCUCGAACUUAACACCCUUCUUGGGCACAGGGCGAACCAAAUUUAAUCCAUUUGAUGAAUUGAGAGAUUUCUUUUGCUUGGAUGCAUCAAACGGAACCUCCACAGUUUCACCAGACGUUUUUCCCUUCUUCUGCUCAAAUGACUCUUCAAUUUCAAGAUAAGAUGUCUCCGGGUUUGUUUUCCUACUAAUUAUCUUAGCUAAGGUAAGUUUUGGGUCUUCACCAAUUAAUCUGCCAAACUUGAGUUCCAUUUGGUCCCACUGGUCAAGCUUAUUACUAUUCCUAUCAUCUUUAGAAGCAAAAACAACAAAUUUCUUUGUCUUUCUGGAGGAAAAAACAGUUCUUG
rnacentral:misc_RNA from 1 species